rnacentral:tRNA from 1 species
AAAAUUUCGUGGGAUGGUAGCCCACCAAUCUAG